GGGGGCGGGUCGCGUCGGGCGCCACGUCCGCAGCCAGAGGCCUCCGCCUCCACCACCGCCGCCACAGUCUUCCAGCUCCACAUCCUGAGAGGACGCCUCUGGAGCCGCGACUGCCCGGGGUUGUGCCGGCCGCCGCUGCCGCCCAGGCCGCCUCAGCUCUCCUCUGCGCCGGCCCGCUCACUCCGCCCGGCCCCAGCCCUAGCGCUGGCCGCGACCCCGGCGCCUUUGAAACUUCUGCUGGUGUGAGUGCCCUCAGGGGUUCCCCAGGAAUAUCGAUACAACACCAACAGGAGAUCAUGAAUCAGACAGAUAAAAAUCAACAAGAAAUCCCAUCAUACCUUAAUGAUGAACCACCAGAAGAGUCUUACUCUGUCAACCCAGGCUGGAGUGCAAUGGCACGAUCUUGGCCCACUGCAACCUCCGCUUCCUGGGUUCAAGCAGUUCUCCUGCCUCAGCCUCCCAAGUAGCUGGGAUUACAGGUUCAAUGAAAGAUCACCCACAGCAGCAGCCAGGCAUGUUGUCCCGUGUGACUGGGGGUAUCUUCAGUGUUACAAAGGGAGCUGUUGGUGCCACCAUUGGUGGUGUGGCUUGGAUUGGUGGAAAGAGUCUGGAAGUGACCAA
rnacentral:lncRNA from 1 species